rnacentral:rRNA from 1 species
GAUGAACGCUAGCGGCAGGCUUAACACAUGCAAGUCGAGGGGUAGAAGUUGCUUGCAACUUUGAGACCGGCGCACGGGUGCGUACGCGUAUGCAAUCUACCUUAUACAGAGGGAUAGCCCAGAGAAAUUUGGAUUAAUACCUCAUAGUAUAAUUGAAUGGCAUCAUUUAAUUAUUAAAGUUCCAACGGUAUAAGAUGAGCAUGCGUCCUAUUAGCUAGAUGGUAAGGUAACGGCUUACCAUGGCAACGAUAGGUAGGGGUCCUGAGAGGGAGAUCCCCCACACUGGUACUGAGACACGGACCAGACUCCUACGGGAGGCAGCAGUGAGGAAUAUUGGACAAUGGGCGCAAGCCUGAUCCAGCCAUGCCGCGUGCAGGAAGAAGCAUCUAUGGUGUGUAAACUGCUUUUGUACGGGAAGAAACACCCCUUCGUGAAGGGACUUGACGGUACCGUAAGAAUAAGGAUCGGCUAACUCCGUGCCAGCAGCCGCCGCCGUAA